GUGCGAAGCAUGCGAGUGAUGGCGGUCUCUAGCUUCUUGUCGUCAGGAGCAACGAGCUCCACUGCUUGUUGUGGACCGGCUUGGACUUUCAGUUGCCAGGGGUAUACUUCUUCGAGGGUGGCCCAAGAAAUUCAUGUGAUGCUGCCGGAGCGGGCAUGUCCUUCUAUGCGUGGAUAGUAAAAGUGGCGGAAGAGUGCUAUGUCGGGACUACUCCUAUGAAAUUCUCGCACAAGUGCGCGAAUACCGACAGGGUGCUCAUAGCAUUGGUGGUGAAAUCAAGCGCUUUGAAGCCAUAGGUCAGCAUCAGAUCUCUGGAGAAGGCGGAAAAGGGGGGAACCAGCCCAUGGUAGAAGUACAUCCUGAACAACGGGUACUUCCCCGUGUAGGGAUGGGAAUCACCAGGAAUCACGUCCAGCGCAGGAUGCAUCAUGGUUUCUUUCCCCCACAUCAGAGUGUACAUCGAGAUGAGGUAGUUGCUCGUCAGGACGAAAGGGAAGAAGAUGAUGCUGUAUCUUCGCACCGCCGCCAGGGAAUCCUUCCUCGCCUUCGCAUCAGGAUCAUUAUUUCUAUUGGUCCUCUUCGUCGGGCCUGAAGCAGUGGCGGAAAAUGCCAUCUUAGGCACCAUGAAGAUCUCGGAGAAGAAUGACAACGAAGACGACGAAGCGACACGGGGGCUCUGCACUUAGCGACAGAGAAGACAGAGUAGGCGGUAGAGCAGGGAAUGGUUGGCUUGGAUGAGCAGUGCGUGUGUGAAUUCCAUUCUUAUAGGGUGGAACGUGCAGAGGCCUCCUCUCCCCGUCUGACGUGGCCACACCUUUCUAGGCACGCUCCCCACAUUUUGUUUCGCUCCACCUGUCCUAAGUCCCACAUUUGAUCUGAAGGGUGUGUGGGCAGUAAACAGCAUCAUUACAACUGUA